GAUGAACGCUGGCGGCGUGCCUAAUACAUGCAAGUCGAGCGAACGGACGAGAAGCUUGCUUCUCUGAUGUUAGCGGCGGACGGGUGAGUAACACGUGGAUAACCUACCUAUAAGACUGGGAUAACUUCGGGAAACCGGAGCUAAUACCGGAUAAUAUUUUGAACCGCAUGGUUCAAAAGUGAAAGACGGUCUUGCUGUCACUUAUAGAUGGAUCCGCGCUGCAUUAGCUAGUUGGUAAGGUAACGGCUUACCAGGGCAACGAUGAAUAGCCGACCUGAGAGAGGGUGGGCACACUGGGAAGCGGAAACGGGGCACAGGCACCCAGGGGGGGCCAGGAGGGGUACUUUAGCGAGAGGGGGGAAAGCCUGCGGGAACAGCGGCGGGUGGGUGGAGAAGGUUCUCGGGUGGUAAAACUGUGUUAAGGGGGGAAAACGAGUGUGAAAGUAACGGUGCACAAGUGAAGGGAACCAAAAAAAAAGGCCAGGGUAAACAAGGG
rnacentral:rRNA from 1 species